GAUGAACGCUGGCGGCGUGCCUAAUACAUGCAAGUAGAACGCUGAGGGAGGAGCUUGCUCUUCUGGAUGAGUUGCGAACGGGUGAGUAACGCGUAGGUAACCUGCCUGGUAGCGGGGGAUAACUAUUGGAAACGAUAGCUAAUACCGCAUGACAACAGUUAUUGCAUGAUAACUGUUUAAAAGGGGCAACUGCUCCACUACCAGAUGGACCUGCGUUGUAUUAGCUAGUUGGUGAGGUAACGGCUCACCAAGGCGACGAUACAUAGCCGACCUGAGAGGGUGGUCGGCCACACUGGGACUGAGACACGGCCCAGACUCCUACGGGAGGCAGCAGUAGGGAAUCUUCGGCAAUGGACGGAAGUCUGACCGAGCAACGCCGCGUGAGUGAAGAAGGUUUUCGGAUCGUAAAGCUCUGUUGUAAGAGAAGAACGAGUGUGAGAGUGGAAAGUUCACACUGUGACGGUAUCUUACCAGAAAGGGACGGCUAACUACGUG
rnacentral:rRNA from 1 species